rnacentral:rRNA from 1 species
AGUGAACGCUGGCGGUAGGCCUAACACAUGCAAGUCGAACGUCAGCACAGUAAGAGCUUGCUCUUACGGGUGGCGAGUGGCGGACGGGUGAGGAAUACAUCGGAAUCUACUUUUUCGUGGGGGAUAACGUAGGGAAACUUACGCUAAUACCGCAUACGACCUACGGGUGAAAGCAGGGGAUCUUCGGACCUUGCGCGAUUGAAUGAGCCGAUGUCGGAUUAGCUAGUUGGCGGGGUAAAGGCCCACCAAGGCGACGAUCCGUAGCUGGUCUGAGAGGAUGAUCAGCCACACUGGAACUGAGACACGGUCCAGACUCCUACGGGAGGCAGCAGUGGGGAAUAUUGGACAAUGGGCGCAAGCCUGAUCCAGCCAUACCGCGUGGGUGAAGAAGGCCUUCGGGUUGUAAAGCCCUUUUGUUGGGAAAGAAAAGCAGCAGGUUAAUACCCCGCUGUUCUGACGGUACCCAAAGAAUAAGCACCGGCUAACUUCGU